rnacentral:rRNA from 1 species
AUUUACGCCCCCUCCUCACGCGCUCUCAAGCAACAAUUCUUCGAUGAACUUUUAGCUAUCGCCCAACCAGAUGUUUCGCCCUGGCUACUCGUCGGUGACUUCAACCUCCUACGUUUCCCCUCAGACAAAAACAAUGAUGCGUUUAGACACACCGAGGCCAACGCUUUCAACCAAACAAUUGAUGCGCUUGCCCUCAUCGAGUUACCACUUCUAGACCGCCAAUUCACUUGGUCUAAC